AUACGGAGGGUGCAAGCGUUAUUCGGAAUCACUGGGCGUAAAGGACGCGUAGGCGGGUUGGCAAGUUAGAUGUGAAAUCCUACAGCUUAACUGUAGAACUGCAUUUGAAACUGCUAACCUAGAGUAUGGGAGGGGGUGAUGGAAUUAGUGGUGUAGGGGUAAAAUCCGUAGAUAUCACUAGGAAUACCGAAAGCGAAGGCGAUCUCCUGGAACAUAACUGACGCUAAGGCGUGAAAGCGUGGGGAGCAAACAGGAUUAGAAACCCUAGUAGUCC
rnacentral:rRNA from 1 species